AGGCGGUGGAAUCAAACAGAGAGAGAAGAAGAGAAGGAAAAGAAAGAAAGAAAAGAAGAAGAAGAAGGGAAGGGGAUUCGAGGUGGAAGAGAGCCCCGGUUGCGCUGCCAGCUGAAGGAAAAAGCGUAGGUCUCCUUCCCCUCUACGCAAAGACCUCGACUUUCCGAAAAGAAAAAGGUAAAUACCCGUCCCUACCUAGUAUUCUAAAGAAAUUAGGCUAUACAAAGGGUGGAUUUGGUCUAGAGAGGUUAGAUAGAAGUGGUUAAAGGAGAGGAAAUCGGAUUUCGACAAGUUUUUCCGAGGCUACGGAAAAACUGUGUCGAAGUCCCAACUUCGGUGAAUUAUUUCGGAGGUCAAUCGGCCUCCGAUGGUGAUACAUGUUACCAUUCUGGAAAUCCCUAUGAGUGUAGAAUGUUAGGUAAAAAUUUCAUAAAGUUUAGAAUUUGAAAAGUGGAUCAAAACCGGGAUGAAAUAACCCGCUGUCAGUUCGGGUUACUGUUCAUCCGAGAGGAAGAAGGUGAGAAAAAUGAUGGAAGUCGCCUCAAAACGCGCCGGAGUCGACGCGGGGUCAACUGGAGUCGACUCGAGGCAGAUUGGGGUCAACUCAUGCCUCAGAGGGGUCGACUCACGAGGUUGGGGGUCGACUCUCUCUCUGAGAGUCCAAAAAAUGAAGUUUUGCGGCUCUGUGGUCGGGGUCGACUCAUGAGGUUGGGGUCGACUCUCUCUGAGAGUCCAAAAAAUGAAGUUUUGCGGCUCUAUGGUCGGGGUCGACUCAUGAGGUGCUGCUUCAGUGAAAUUUUUAGUGAAGGAGGAUUUUGACUCUUUCUCGCACCUUGACCCUAUAGCAAUGGCCUAAGAUGUGUGUGUGAUGCUUUUGCAUCAUAAUACAUAUAAGGGGGAGAUUAAUUGAUAGGAAAAAGGGAAAAAGGAAGAUUUAGUGAGGGGGGAGUUGAGUCAAUUAAAGUUUUCUAUGUUUAUGGUUGAUACAUAGAUUAUGAGUCCUUGAUACAAGACUGAAUGUAUAAUUAAUGCAUGUCACAGUUGGGCAAGAAGCUAGGGAACAAGAGGAGGAAGUCCCCCACUGCCUACUGUAGAUUUUGAAGGUGUAUAAAGACUGUGCCAGAUUGACAGAUGAUUGAGAGUCAUGUACUUUGCACCAUGAGCAUUCUUAAUUCAUUUUCAUGAAUGUCGCCAAGUGUGAAUUGAUUCCACUUGUGCAUAUUAAUUGAUAUUGUAGUAGAUUCCUCUAUAAUCUUUUUUCUCCAUGUUUAAUUAUUUUGUACAUGCAUUUGAGGGAACAUUGAGAGGAAUUACAAGGGG
rnacentral:lncRNA from 1 species